rnacentral:lncRNA from 1 species
GUGUGUGAUAAUUUCUUCAAUUAGUGGGUUGGGGUUCGGAAGAAAUAUGUGAGAGCCUUCUGAUCUCUUGUAUCAUACUAAGGCUAUCAAAAUGGGCACACAUACAGUAGAUAUUACAAACUCCAAGCUCAAAAAUUUUAUGGAGCCUACAAUCAUUGAUUGUGCAUGCAACCAAUCACAAUGACUCAUUCCUAUAAACCCCAUUCAUCAAGCACUCAUCUUAGUGUACUGCAAUAGAAAUGAGUGACUGUGAUUAUCAAUAUGCAUGGUCUCAUCGUGCAUGUAGUGUGGGGUAUAAUUUUUCCAAUUCAUGGGG